rnacentral:rRNA from 1 species
GAUGAACGCUGGCGGCGUGCCUAAUACAUGCAAGUAGAACGCUGAAGCUUGGUGCUUGCACCGAGCGGAUGAGUUGCGAACGGGUGAGUAACGCGUAGGUAACCUGCCUCUUAGCGGGGGAUAACUAUUGGAAACGAUAGCUAAUACCGCAUAAAAGACGAUAUCGCAUGAUAUUGAUUUGAAAGGUGCAAAUGCAUCACUAAGAGAUGGACCUGCGUUGUAUUAGCUAGUUGGUGAGGUAACGGCUCACCAAGGCAACGAUACAUAGCCGACCUGAGAGGGUGAUCGACCACACUGGGACUGAGACACGGCCCAGACUCCUACGGGAGGCAGCAGUAGGGAAUCUUCGGCAAUGGGGGCAACCCUGACCGAGCAACGCCGCGUGAGUGAAGAAGGUUUUCGGAUCGUAAAGCUCUGUUGUAAGAGAAGAACGAGUGUGAGAGUGGAAAGUUCACACUGUGACGGUAACUUACCAGAAAG